rnacentral:rRNA from 1 species
AACGAACGCUGGCGGCGUGGUUUAGGCAUGCAAGUCGAACGGUUCCCCUGUUUUCUUGUUUUCGCAAGAAAACAAGAAAACAGGGGAAUAGUGGCAAAAGGGUGAGUAACGCGUGGGUAAUUUACCCUCAAAUUAGGGAUAACUCGCCGAAAGGCGAGCUAAUACCAAAUAAGACCACAUUUACCUCGGUGGAUGUGGUAAAAGGUAACAUAUCUUGACUUAGUGUUGGGAGUUGCCGUUUGGGGAUAAGCCUGCGUCCUAUCAGCUUGUUGGUAAGGUAAUGGCUUACCAAGGCGUUUGACGGGUAGCUGGUCUAAGAGGAUGGUCAGCCACACUGGGACUGAGACACUGCCCAGACUCCUACGGGAGGCUGCAGUCGAGAAUCUUUCGCAAUGCCCGCAAGGGUGACGAAGCGACGCCGCGUGAGCGAUGAAGGCCUUCGGGUUGUAAAGCUCUGUUAGGUCGGAUGAAACCCCCCCGAUGUAACGUCGGGGGGGUUGACGGUACGAUCAGAGGAAGCCACGGCUAACUCCGUGCCAGCAGCCGCGGUAAUACGGAGGUGGCAAGCGUUGUUCGGAUUUAUUGGGUGUAAAGGGUAUGUAGGUGUCCUAUCAAGUUUCUGGUGAAAUCCUUAGGCUCAACCUGAGAACUGCCAGAAAAACUGGCGGGAUUGAGUAUGGGAGAGGAGAGUGGAAUUCCCGGUGUAAGGGUGAAAUCUGUAGAUAUCGGGAGGAACACCAGUAGCGAAGGCGACUCUCUGGCCCAAAACUGACACUGAAAUACGAAAGCUAGGGGAGCAAACAGGAUUAGAUACCCUGGUAGUCCUAGCUGUAAACGAUGGGCACUAGGUGUAUGUCUAUAUUAGAUGUGCGCCGUAGCUAACGUGUUAAGUGCCCCACCUGGGGAGUACGACCGCAAGGUUA